UACGGGGGGGGCAAGCGUUUGUUCGGAAUUACUGGGCGUAAAGGGCUCGUAGGCGGCCAACUAAGUCAGACGUGAAAUCCCUCGGCUUAACCGGGGAACUGCGUCUGAUACUGGAUGGCUUGAGUUCGGGAGAGGGAUGUGGAAUUCCAGGUGUAGCGGUGAAAUGCGUAGAUAUCUGGAGGAACACCGGUGGCGAAGGCGGCAUCCUGGACCGACACUGACGCUGAUGAGCGAAAGCCAGGGGAGCAAACAGG
rnacentral:rRNA from 1 species